CAAUUUAACUCUUGCUGCUUUUCUGGGUUUGUAACUUUGGGGGUCUUUUGUAGAUGCUUCAAGUGAGUCCCGUACUCUCAGUUAUGCUAAAAAUUACUUUCAGCUUUGUAAAACAUGCCCUUUUAAAUUUAGACUCUGCUGCCAUUAUUUUUGGCUUGUAGUUCCUGUGACUAGCACAGAACCAAGCUCUGACAGAAGAGGACUUGCAUUAGACGUGGCAGUUCAUUUUGGCUUCACCCUCGUCACAUAGGUCUGCUGCUGCUCUGCGGGCAAUUAAUGCUGAAAUGUGAGCUACUCCACCUGCCAGCAGUGUCUUUUCAUCUGAAAGACUCGCUGCCCCACCAGUGAUAACACAGGCAAAGUCCUGACCUGUGGUGUCCUGGGGAGUGAAGGCCCAGCUCUCCGACGAAGCGCCGGCAGAGAGCAGA